rnacentral:rRNA from 1 species
AGUCGAACGAUGAAGCCCAGCUUGCUGGGUGGAUUAGUGGCGAACGGGUGAGUAACACGUGAGCAACCUGCCCCUGACUCUGGGAUAAGCGCUGGAAACGGCGUCUAAUACUGGAUAUGUCCCGUCACCGCAUGGUGUGCGGGUGGAAAGAUUUUUCGGUUGGGGAUGGGCUCGCGGCCUAUCAGCUUGUUGGUGAGGUAAUGGCUCACCAAGGCGUCGACGGGUAGCCGGCCUGAGAGGGUGACCGGCCACACUGGGACUGAGACACGGCCCAGACUCCUACGGGAGGCAGCAGUGGGGAAUAUUGCACAAUGGGCGGAAGCCUGAUGCAGCAACGCCGCGUGAGGGAUGACGGCCUUCGGGUUGUAAACCUCUUUUAGCAGGGAAGAAGCGAGAGUGACGGUACCUGCAGAAAAAGCACCGGCUAACUACGUGCCAGCAGCCGCGGUAAUACGUAGGGUGCAAGCGUUAUCCGGAAUUAUUGGGCGUAAAGAGCUCGUAGGCGGUCUGUCGCGUCUGCUGUGAAAUCCCGAGGCUCAACCUCGGGCUUGCAGUGGGUACGGGCAGACUAGAGUGCGGUAGGGGAGAUUGGAAUUCCUGGUGUAGCGGUGGAAUGCGCAGAUAUCAGGAGGAACACCGAUGGCGAAGGCAGAUCUCUGGGCCGUAACUGACGCUGAGGAGCGAAAGGGUGGGGAGCAAACAGGCUUAGAUACCCUGGUAGUCCACCCCGUAAACGUUGGGAACUAGUUGUGGGGUCCUUUCCACGGAUUCCGUGACGCAGCUAACGCAUUAAGUUCCCCGCCUGGGGGAGUACGGCCGCAAGGCUAAAACUCAAAGGAAUUGACGGGGACCCGCACAAGCGGCGGAGCAUGCGGAUUAAUUCGAUGCAACGCGAAGAACCUUACCAAGGCUUGACAUACACGAGAACGGGCCAGAAAUGGUCAACUCUUUGGACACUCGUGAACAGGUGGUGCCAUGGUUGUCGUCAGCUCGUGUCGUGAGAUGUUUGGGUUAAGUCCCGCAACGAGCGCAACCCUCGUUCUAUGUUGCCAGCACGUAAUGGUGGGAACUCAUGGGAUACUGCCCGGGUCA